rnacentral:rRNA from 1 species
AACACCUGCACUAUUUGACGUUACCUACAGAAGAAGCACCGGCUAACUCCGUGCCAGCAGCCGCGGUAAUACGGAGGGUGCGAGCGUUAAUCGGAAUUACUGGGCGUAAAGCGCAUGCAGGCGGCCUGUUAAGUCAGAUGUGAAAGACCCGGGGCUUAACCUCGGAAUUGCAUUUGAAACUGGCAGGCUAGAGUCUUGUAGAGGGGGGUAGGAAUUUCAGGUGUAGCGGUGAAAUGCGUAGAGAUCUGAAGGAAUACCAGUGGCGAAGGCGGCCCCCUGGACAAAGACUGACGCUCAGAUGCGAAAGCGUGGGGAGCAAACAGGAUUAGAUACCCUGGUAG